AGACCCGAAACCCGGUGAUCUAGCCAUGGGCAGGUUGAAGGUUGGGUAACACUAACUGGAGGACCGAACCGACUAAUGUUGAAAAAUUAGCGGAUGACCUGUGGCUGGGGGUGAAAGGCCAAUCAAACCGGGAGAUAGCUGGUUCUCCCCGAAAGCUAUUUAGGUAGCGCCUCGUGAAUUCAUCUCCGGGGGUAGAGCACUGUUUCGGCUAGGGGGCCAUCCCGGCUUACCAACCCGAUGCAAACUGCGAAUACCGGAGAAUGUUAUCACGGGAGACACACGGCGGGUGCUAACGUCCGUCGUGAAGAGGGAAACAACCCAGACCGCCAGCUAAGGUCCCAAAGUCAUGGUUAAGUGGGAAACGAUGUGGGAAGGCCCAGACAGCCAGGAUGUUGGCUUAGAAGCAGCCAUCAUUUAAAGAAAGCGUAAUAGCUCACUGGUCGAGUCGGCCUGCGCGGAAGAUGUAACGGGGCUAAACCAUGCACCGAAGCUGCGGCAGCGACACUGUGUGUUGUUGGGUAGGGGAGCGUUCUGUAAGCCUGUGAAGGUGUGUCGUGAGGCAUGCUGGAGGUAUCAGAAGUGCGAAUGCUGACAUAAGUAACGAUAAAGCGGGUGAAAAGCCCGCUCGCCGGAAGACCAAGGGUUCCUGUCCAACGUUAAUCGGGGCAGGGUGAGUCGACCCCUAAGGCGAGGCCGAAAGGCGUAGUCGAUGGGAAACGGGUUAAUAUUCCCGUACUUGGUGUUACUGCGAAGGGGGGACGGAGAAGGCUAUGUUGGCCGGGCGACGGUUGUCCCGGUUUAAGCGUGUAGGCUGGUUUUCCAGGCAAAUCCGGAAAAUCAAGGCUGAGGCGUGAUGACGAGGCACUACGGUGCUGAAGCAACAAAUGCCCUGCUUCC
rnacentral:rRNA from 1 species